GGGUCCGGAGGAAAUUUAUCCAUUGGAGGGAUCUGGUUGGCACUGUUGAAGUCCAGUUGGCGCUGUUGAAGGUUGAUUGCUGGAGAGGUAAGGAAGACAUCGAAGACAGUCAGUCACUGUAGAAAUUCGGCUGCUGGAGCCCGUCCAUUGUAGAAGUUCGUCUGGAAUCCAAUUCUGUUAUAGAAGUUCGGACGGAGUCCGAUUCUUGUAGGAGUCUGGAAAGAGGCCGCUUACUGUAGAAGCUUGGAUGGAGACCGAUUAUCGUGGCAGCCCGAAUGG
rnacentral:lncRNA from 1 species